AAAGGAUGGAUGACGCCACAGCACUUCCUCUCAUUGUGCAAAAAAAAAAAAAAAUCCCGCUUGUGGAGGCUGUCAUGUUGCAUUGUGUGACCCAGAAUCUGUGCAGUACGCUCCCGGCCACACAUCCGCUGGACGUAACCUCAUUAAGUGCUAUCUGGUCAUCCAUCUGAGAGGCUCUGAGAGGAGGGACAGCGUUUACGUUACGAAAACACGACCGAGUGUUUUAACCUGACAGCCUGAGGUGUUCUUCAGUAAACUGCACUAGCUGACAGAAGGACCCGAGGCCCCGCUGCUCUUUUUCGGAGCUGCCCUCAGAUUCAGACCUCAGCCCCAUCGAGUGACAGCAGACAGAUCAGCCAACAUGUUCACAUGUUAACUGCAAAAUGAACUGGUGAAAACAGUACAAAGGUUAAAGUACCACACGUGCUGUAGUGAAAGCUGCAGCUGUUUUAUUGAUAAAGUUAAAGACAAAAAACAAAAGGAUUAAUCACUCAUGUAACUGUGUCACUAUAUAUCAGCAUUAACAGGACCUCAGUUUGGUGUUUCACAAAGCUGCUGAUCUCAGACCUGCACAGCUUCUGUUUUAAACACUUGAUGCACUCAGCUGCAUGAAGAGCACAUGAGAUUUUCUGUAACACAAUUAAAUAAAACCUGAAGGUCAAAGGUC